UACAGAGGUCUCAAGCGUUGUUCGGAUUCAUUGGGCGUAAAGGGUGUGUAGGUGGCGCGCUAAGUCGGGUGUGAAAUUUCGGAGCUUAACUCCGAAACUGCAUUCGAUACUGGCGUGCUUGAGGACUGGAGAGGAGACUGGAAUUCAUGGUGUAGCAGUGAAAUGCGUAGAGAUCAUGAGGAAGACCAGUGGCGAAGGCGGGUCUCUGGACAGUUCCUGACACUGAGACACGAAGGCCAGGGGGAGCAAAACGGG
rnacentral:rRNA from 1 species